rnacentral:rRNA from 1 species
CCCACGAGUCCUUAACUGACGCUAAAGCUCGAAGGUGCGGGUAUCGAACAGGAUUAGAUACCCUGGUAGUCCGCACGGUAAACGAUGGAUGCCCGCUGUCGGCGACAGACUGUCGGCGGCCAAGCGAAAGCGUUAAGCAUCCCACCUGGGGAGUACGCCGGCAACGGUGAAACUCAAAGGAAUUGACGGGGGCCCGCACAAGCGGAGGAACAUGUGGUUUAAUUCGAUGAUACGCGAGGAACCUUACCCGGGCUUGAACUGCAGAGGAAGGAUUGAGAGAUCAUGACGCCCUUCGGGGCCUCUGUGGAGGUGCUGCAUGGUUGUCGUCAGCUCGUGCCGUGAGGUGUCGGCUUAAGUGCCAUAACGAGCGCAACCCCUGCUGUCAGUUGCCAUCAGGUCGAGCUGGGCACUCUGGCGGUACUGCCACCGUAAGGUGUGAGGAAGGUGGGGAUGACGUCAAAUCAGCACGGCCUUGACGUCCGGGGCUACACACGUGUUACAAUGGCCGGUACAGAAAGUUGGAUGCCCGUAAGGUCAUUCUAAUCAAGAAAGCCGGUCCCAGUUCGGACUGAGGUGUGCAACCCGACCUCACGAAGCGGA